AGAAAAUUUACGACAAAUUUCUAAUUAUUAAAGGGUGACACAAAAUUACAUUCACUUGAUUUAAAUUUCCCGCUCGUCUGUACAACCAAUUUAAAGGGACAGGCUUUACCGAAUAUCAAAGGCGCCGCCCGGAGUGUCGCCUCUUGUUGUACCUACUCUUUGCCUUUGUUCUCGAAGGGUCAUGGAUUUUGGGGUCCGAGGACCCCAGGGUGAGGUACGAUAAAUAGAAGAAAGCAGCUAUAUCGACAGUCCUAUCUGUUUUACCCGUUUAUCUUUUACCACAUACAUCACGCAACUACCUUAUCCACUGAAGCAGAAUAAAGGGUGAUAUACUUUAUUAAAACGAGAGAAACGUCGCAAUUCACGUAGCUAGUUGGUAUCCCUGUAGCUUUGCUUUUUACAUCGUGAUCAUAUACAAGGUGAACAACAAUGCAUGCAUAAGUAGUAAAAAUAUAAUUUUGAAAAUGUAUUUAAUAAUUUCUAAAACUUUCUGCGCGCUAGGUAUACACGCUUCAAGUUAUUUUGACGUUACCAACGCCUGCGCGUUACUUCAGAUUAGGAAGUGCGAAGAACCAAUCAUAGCAGAAAUGCGUAUCGUGAACGAAAACUUGUCGUUCGACGUUACGUUUAUCUCGCCAACAUAUGUAUAAUAUAUGCAAUGUUGCCAAAUGAAACUUCGUAUAUACGGCAACAUCGCUUUUUAGGCUAAUACAGACCGAAAAUCUGGAUUAUUGAAGCUGAAAAGGAUUGUUCGCUGUUCAGUAAGCCAAGCCUAGGGCCCGAUCGAACUGUACAGUCACUCUGAUCAAAAAGUGCAACAUUUUAUUGUGGAUGUGGAAGCACUAUUUUGAUAUUAUAAUAUUAACAUAACUACUGUUCUAGAAUUUUUAACUACCGACAAUUUAGAACUACCGACAUUAAAUGCUCACUUAUCGAAGAAUGAAAACAGACAUUUCCAGAAAAUCGCGACAAUAAAAUUUUAUGAUAUAAAAUGAGAAAUCUGAAACCAGUCAUUUUGACUGGUUGGUAGUUUUAUUGGACGUAAGUUCGAGUUCCUCAUCCAAACUUUAGCUUUUUUUAAUGUUAAUUUUUUGUUCUAACCGUGCCGCAAUGAGUAAUAGUCAUAACUUGAACAUGUACGUAUAAAAUUCUAUGAUAAUUCAAUACAGUUUACUGAUGUGUCCCCUUUUGCCGCAGAACGUUAGAAAACGUCAACUUUUUUGAAAAGCAUAUGAGGUUGGCAACCUUUAACAGUAUCUCAUCAAUGGUAUAAUUCAAAUAAUACAGUCGAUAUCAAAGUAAUCUACUGUUACCCUUAAGUGUAUUAAACUGCUGCAGCAUGAAGUGUUUCAUAAUUUUAUACUAAAAUAAAGUAGAUGGCGCUCGUUCCCGAGUCAUAGAUUCAUGUUCCCUUUAGGACAAAGGCAUGCAUAGUCUUGUUAUAUCUGUAGUCACUGCGCAAACAUAAGAGAGUUGCCGCUUCGUCGCCAGGCGCUGCUCGCACGACCCGACUUCCGCGCUCCUGGCUGUCGUUCUAGGAAGCAGUCUCCAGGAUCUCUCUCUCGCUCCUGGGAUGGUUUCGACGGUAACGAUAUGACAACUCUCUCGGAUUGUCGCGCCCUCCCUACGACCGAUCGACGUCGGGCCCACUCUCGAUCGGGGACUCGUCGAGCUAAUAGUUGUGCGCGUUUUCUACGUCGCCCCAUCCUAGGACCGACAGGAGAUCGGCUUAUAAUUCGGACUUUGCUGUGAACUCUGCUUCAGUGGUAAAAUUCUCCAUCAUUACGGUACGACACGACGCCAUGCAAACACGAGCAGCAGAUGGGGAUUUGAUGGACCACCAAUUCGGAACUCGGAAUUCAACGUUCAAACACUGGAAAGGGGGUGAUGUGGUACUUGUCUAAUCUGAACGCCCCUUUAUGAAGGGUCGACGCAGCGCCAUCUAACAGUGAUACGUGGUACUACAACAGAAACUUCGCUGAUGGCAAAAGUAGUUUAAGCCAUGCUAUCGGACCGACGAGCUAGUCUUUACAGCAUUGAAGUGGAGGAAGGAUCUCUGCGUUCCAUUUAAUCAAAUUCCAAAAUUGAAUAUACACACAAUCUGCCACGGUCUUCGACAAAGUAUUAAGCCAAUAAAGAGUUACAUAAAUUAAAAAUUCUACAAAAUAUAUUUGCAAAUUGUAUGUAUUUAUGAAGUUACAAUAAAUAAACAAAAGAAAUCAUGUACUUAUUUACAAU